GCUGAAGGUGAUGAAGCGGUGAUUCAAAUAUUCUGUUCUCACUGAUCAUAAUCAGGUUGUGAAAGGACUACUUUGGGCUCAGCCGAAUCACCGCGGAGGACGGGAGCACCGCGGGAAACACGCACCGCUCCCUCCAGAGCCGGGGAUAAUAGCAGGGCGUGCCGGAGUAAGGUUCGACACCGAACAUCAGCAACGGGAACGACGGCGGGCACUGGGCUGCCUCCCAGUGAGCCCGGAGCGUAACAGCAGGCAGGCAGCGCCUCCUGGCUGAGGUGCGCAAAGAAUCUGCGAAGCGCAGACGAACAGUUCCUGAGCAUCUCCCUGAGGAGAUCCGAUGGGACUUCAGGUUGCGGAAACGUGCCCAGCUCAGUUACGCAUCCCUAACAGCCACUCGACAACCCAGGAAAUCAGCCACCAAAAAAGAACAACAGACUGCAUUAUAUCAGCAAUAUUGAGUGGAGUCUGGACACACAGAUACACAUUCUUUGCAACAGAAAAAGGAAUUUUAACUGUUCUCCAGUUAUUGUGGAAACAAGGCCUGAGUGUAUGACAGCAGACUUUUUGUUCCCAUGUCUGUGAGAAGUAAGCCCUUGGAAGACAUAACCACACUCAGAAUCAUACAAACAAACUGAGACUUUUCUGAAAAGCUGAUUUUUCAAACUCUGGUGAAAGAAGAGAUUAAAAUGCUUAACUUUUAAAAUGAAUGAGCCAAGGACUGUGCACUUGUGCCAGAAAGAUAUUUUCUUUGUUUUCAGCUGACAAUGAUAGCACAGUGCCACUCUAUCCAUGACAACCACUACCUGCCUUUUUAAUUGGAAAGGAAGGUUUAGAUUUCCUCAGGAGAUUAUUCUGGCCUGUUCCUCAGUAUAUAUAAAACAAAAUUAUUAACCUUUGGAUUUCAGAAACGUGAAGCAAUUUUCUCUGCAAUCACAGAAGUAAUACAGCUUUUCUUGUUUGAGUUAGUGAAAGUUUAACGCGCUUUUAAGAAGUAUGAUACAACUUGGAAAGACUGGUUCAUUUAUCAGAGGAAUCUUGGAGGCAGGCCUAUCUAUCAAAUUCCAGCUAGUCAUUUGUGUCUGUGUCCAUGAGCAUGGAAAGUAUGUGUAUCCUAAUAGAAUUUUGUCCAGCUCUGGUAUUAAAAAUCAAUAAACACGUACACGUA